rnacentral:rRNA from 1 species
CCCUUAGAUGUUCUGGGCCGCACGCGUGCUACACUGAGUGGAUCAGCGGGUCAGGUUGCGCGAAAGUGUUUCCUAAUCUUUAAAUCCGCUCGUGAUGGGGAUUGACGGUUGCAAUUUUCCGUCAUGAACGAGGAAUACCUUGUAAGCGCGGGUCAUCAUCCCGCGCUGAAUACGUCCCUGCCCUUUGUACACACCGCCCGUCGCUCCUACCGAUUGAGCGUUUUAGUGAGGCAUUUGGACCGACGCAUCUCAGUUUAACCGCUGGUUUGUGUUGGAAAGACUUCCAAACUUGAGCGUUUAGAGGAAGUAAAAGUCGUAACA